rnacentral:rRNA from 1 species
CGCUAACACUCCUACGGGAGGCAGCAGUGGGGAAUAUUGCACAAUGGGCGCAAGCCUGAUGCAGCCAUGCCGCGUGUGUGAAGAAGGCCUUCGGGUUGUAAAGCACUUUCAGUCGUGAGGAAGGUAGUGUAGUUAAUAGCUGCAUUAUUUGACGUUAGCGACAGAAGAAGCACCGGCUAACUCCGUGCCAGCAGCCGCGGUAAUACGGAGGGUGCGAGCGUUAAUCGGAAUUACUGGGCGUAAAGCGCAUGCAGGUGGUUUGUUAAGUCAGAUGUGAAAGCCCGGGGCUCAACCUCGGAAUAGCAUUUGAAACUGGCAGACUAGAGUACUGUAGAGGGGGUAGAAUUUCAGGUGUAGCGGUGAAAUGCGUAGAGAUCUGAAGGAAUACCGGUGGCGAAGGCGGCCCCCUGGACAGAUACUGACACUCAGAUGCGAAAGCGUGGGGAGCAAACAGGAUUAGAUACCCUGGUAG